UACGGGGGGGGGCAAGCGUUGUUCGGAAUUACUGGGCGUAAAGGGCUCGUAGGCGGCCAACUAAGUCAGACGUGAAAUCCCUCGGCUUAACCGGGGAACUGCGUCUGAUACUGGAUGGCUAGAGAUUGGGAGAGGGAUGCGGAAUUCCAGGUGUAGCGGUGAAAUGCGUAGAUAUCUGGAGGAACACCGGUGGCGAAGGCAGCCCCCUGGGCUGACACUGACGCUCAGGCACGAAAGCGUGGGGAGCGAAUAGG
rnacentral:rRNA from 1 species